AGGGUGUAAACGCUGCAGACUUGGUGUUGGAGGCCCUUUGGGGGCAUUCAGUGCCGGAGAGAAGUUGUUAAGUCUGCUACUUGGGGAGUACGUCCGCAAGGAUGAACUUAAAGGAAUUGGCGGGGAGCACCGCAACGGGAGGAGCGUGCGGUUUAAUUGGAUUCAACACCGUAAACUCACCAGGGAAGACUGUUACAUGAAAGCCGAGAUGAAGACUCUGCUAGAUUUCAGAGAGGAGGUGCAAUGGCGUCAGUGACU
rnacentral:rRNA from 1 species